rnacentral:SRP_RNA from 1 species
GAUUGAGUCGGCACGACUUGUGGGUGACUACGAACUUGGCCCGAUAAUUUUUUUUUUGUUGGCCCACUAUUCUUNGGGGCUCUUGUCUCUUAGAGCGGAGGAGACCGUGUGAGGCUGGUUUCACAGAGCAGCGUCCACCUUCCUCUCUUGACGGUGGAAGGAUAACGGGCCGGUGCCUUCCGAGCCCACUAUGACCCAUUAAGCCGACUCCAUC